UAGCCGAGGAGAAAAGUGACGCAACAUCUCUUCCGGAGCAUGUAUUGUGGAAGGCUGCUCGGGUUGGGAAGGAUGGGGCUGUCGUUGAAGCGGUUCAAAAUAUUUAUGACGAAUGUGUAAGUAUAUGAAACAUUAUUUCUUUAAUUAUAUCGAAAAUUUUGUUAGACAUAUAAUUCAUUUUUAAUCUCCUCUAAUAAUAUUUCAGGAGACAUUAUCCCAAACCUUACCUUCAAUCGAGGUCCAGGAUUGCAGGAGCGUACUUAGUCGAGUACUAAAUGUUCCUGAGUAUUCCGGUCGUG
rnacentral:lncRNA from 1 species